UACGGGGGGGGCAAGCGUUGUUCGGAAUUACUGGGCGUAAAGGGCGCGUAGGCGGCCUUCUAAGUCAGACGUGAAAUCCCCCGGCUCAACCGGGGAACGGGCGCGGAUACGACCGGUCUGGAGGGACGUAGGGGGACCUGGAACUUCCGGUGGAGCGGUGAAAUGCGUUGAGAUCGGAAGGAACGCCCGUGGCGAAAGCGAGGUCCUGGACGUUUACUGACGCUGAGACGCGAAAGCCAGGGGAGCGAACGGG
rnacentral:rRNA from 1 species